rnacentral:rRNA from 1 species
UGGUAAUACCGGAUGCUCCGCUCCAUCGCAUGGUGGGGUGGGAAAUGCUUUUGCGGCAUGGGAUGGGGUCGCGUCCUAUCAGCUUGUUGGCGGGGUGAUGGCCCACCAAGGCGUUGACGGGUAGCCGGCCUGAGAGGGUGACCGGCCACAUUGGGACUGAGAUACGGCCCAGACUCCUACGGGAGGCAGCAGUGGGGAAUAUUGCACAAUGGGCGCAAGCCUGAUGCAGCGACGCCGCGUGCGGGAUGGAGGCCUUCGGGUUGUAAACCGCUUUUGUUCAAGGGCAAGGCACGGUUUCGGCCGUGUUGAGUGGAUUGUUCGAAUAAGCACCGGCUAACUACGUGCCAGCAGCCGCGGUAAUACGUAGGGUGCGAGCGUUAUCCGGAUUUAUUGGGCGUAAAGGGCUCGUAGGCGGUUCGUCGCGUCCGGUGUGAAAGUCCAUCGCCUAACGGUGGAUCUGCGCCGGGUACGGGCGGGCUGGAGUGCGGUAGGGGAGACUGGAAUUCCCGGUGUAACGGUGGAAUGUGUAGAUAUCGAAAAA